UGAAAGCUACAGCAACAUGACUUGAUAAACACAGUAAGAGCUACUCAUACUACACAUUUUUUCUACCUCAUAUUUUUAUUUCCUUUUCAGGGUGGAGAAAACAAAGAUGUUUGUAAAGAACUGGAGAGAAACCUUAGCCAACAAAGUGACUUGAUCAGAUAUGCAAUGGUGGAGAAUUACAAAAUUUUUGAAAAGUGCCUACAAGAAGGAGUCGAAAAAUCCAAAGAUUCAUUUGAAAAAAUCUUGAAGAACUUUCUCUAUCCUCCAAGAAAGAGUGGACGUGGUUUUCAUAGACAACUAAGAAAACUGGUCGAAAAUAAAGGGGUCCUGAAACUAAAACGUGGGCGGGAAAAAAACUUCAACACAAAGUUAAUUUCACUCCUGACAGAUAGCAUUGAUGAGGAAUUCAGAAAAACUUUCCCGAAUGACGGAAAAUGUGGUCCAAUCUACGGAGUAAUCAAUGAAUUUUCACUUGAUGUUGAAGGGCUAAAACAGAAGUACAGUGAUGUUGAACUACAGCUGGUAUUUCUGAAGAAUGAGGUAACUAAUGGGGAAUAGGGCUGGGCGAUAUAGAAAAAAAGCGUAUCGAUAAAAAAAAUGCAUAUUGAUCGAUAUUGAUAAUUAUUGAAAAGAUUUGAAACCAUAUUUUAUGUGC